rnacentral:rRNA from 1 species
UACAGAGGGGGCAAGCGUUGUUCGGAAUUACUGGGCGUAAAGGGCGCGUAGGCGGCCUGCUAAGUCGGAUGUGAAAUCCCUCGGCUUAACCGAGGAACUGCAUCCGAUACUGGCGGGCUUGAAUCCGGGAGAGGGAUGUGGAAUUCCAGGUGUAGCAGUGAAAUGCGUAGAGAUCGUAAGGAAGACCAGUGGCGAAGGCGGGUCUCUGGACAGUUCCUGACACUGAGGCACGAAGGCCAGGGGAGCAAACGGG